AUGAAGGAUGCGGGAGAGACCCCACUAAGGGGCGCCGAAGGGGUAAGUGGCUUAGCCAUGAAACUCUCAGGCAAAAGGACCGUAUCCCGACA
rnacentral:ncRNA from 2 species